rnacentral:rRNA from 1 species
AACGAACGCUGGCGGCAGGCUUAACACAUGCAAGUCGAGCGCCCCGCAAGGGGAGCGGCAGACGGAUGAGUAACACGUGGGGAUCUGCCCAAUGGUACGGAAUAGCUCCGGGAAACUGGAAUUAAUACCGUAUGUGCCCGCAAGGGGAAAGAUUUAUCGCCAUUGGAUGAACCCGCGUCGGAUUAGCUAGUUGGUGUGGUAAAGGCGCACCAAGGCGACGAUCCGUAGCUGGUCUGAGAGGAUGAUCAGCCACACUGGGACUGAGACACGGCCCAGACUCCUACGGGAGGCAGCAGUGGGGAAUAUUGGACAAUGGGCGCAAGCCUGAUCCAGCCAUGCCGCGUGAGUGAUGAAGGCCUUAGGAUUGUAAAAUUCUUUUACCAGGGACGAUAAUGACGGUACCUGGAGAAAAAGCCCCGGCUAACUUCGUGCCAGCCGCCGCGGUAAGAC